rnacentral:misc_RNA from 1 species
AAGUCGUAACAAGGUUUCCGUAGGUGAACCUGCGGAAGGAUCAUUAAUGGAUUGAACAAGAAUUCGUUCUUUUGUGAAGGAAGUGGAAACCCACUUGUGAACCUGUAAUUGUGCAUUGGCGGCUGUUCAGUGCCUUGUGCUGAACAUGCAUUCAGUUGCAAAGGCCGUCGAUAUAUGUUUCAAACAUUUCUACUUCUAUUUAUUCUUUGUCUUCUUUCUUUUGAUUAAGAAACCAAGAACAACUAUUAACAAUGGAUCUCUUGGCUCUC